rnacentral:rRNA from 1 species
GAAAUGUUGGGUUAAGUCCCGCAACGAGCGCAACCCUUAUCCUUUGUUGCCAGCGAUUAGGUCGGGAACUCAAAGGAGACUGCCAGUGAUAAACUGGAGGAAGGUGGGGAUGACGUCAAGUCAUCAUGGCCCUUACGACCAGGGCUACACACGUGCUACAAUGGCGCAUACAAAGAGAAGCGACCUCGCGAGAGCAAGCGGACCUCAUAAAGUGCGUCGUAGUCCGGAUUGGAGUCUGCAACUCGACUCCAUGAAGUCGGAAUCGCUAGUAAUCGUGGAUCAGAAUGCCACGGUGAAUACGUUCCCGGGCCUUGUACACACCGCCCGUCACACCAUGGGAGUGGGUUGCAAAAGAAGUAGGUAGCUUAACCUUCGGGAGGGCGCUUACCACUUUGUGAUUCAUGACUGGGGUGAAGUCGUAACAAGGUAACCGUAGGGGAACCUGCGGUUGGA